rnacentral:rRNA from 1 species
UACGAAGGGUGCAAGCGUUAAUCGGAAUUACUGGGCGUAAAGGGUGCGUAGGCGGUUUUUUAAGUCUGUCGUGAAAUCCCCGGGCUCAACCUGGGAAUGGCGAUGGAUACUGGGCAGCUAGAGUGUGUCAGAGGAUGGUGGAAUUCCCGGUGUAGCGGUGAAAUGCGUAGAGAUCGGGAGGAACAUCAGUGGCGAAGGCGGCCAUCUGGGACAACACUGACGCUGAAGCACGAAAGCGUGGGGAGCAAACAGG